rnacentral:tRNA from 1 species
GCGUUGAUGGUUCAGUGGUAGAAUUCUCGCCUGCCACGCGGGAGAACGGGGUUCGAUUCCCCGCCAACGCA